GACCAUGUGGCCUAAUGGAUAAGGCGUCGGACUUCUAAAAGUUGGUUGAGGUUGACAUCCGAAAGUUGCGGGUUCGAGUCCCGCUUUGGUUA
rnacentral:tRNA from 1 species